rnacentral:rRNA from 1 species
GUGAGGAAUUUUCCGCAAUGGGCGAAAGCCUGACGGAGCAAUGCCGCGUGGAGGAUGAAAGCCUGUGGGUCGUAAACUCCUUUUCUCAGAGAAGAAGAUCUGACGGUAUCUGAGGAAUAAGCAUCGGCUAACUCCGUGCCAGCAGCCGCGGUAAUACGGAGGAUGCAAGCGUUAUCCGGAAUGAUUGGGCGUAAAGCGUCUGUAGGUGGUUUUUUAAGUCUGCUGUCAAAGACCAGGGCUUAACCUUGGGCAGGCAGUAGAAACUAGAAGGCUUGAGUACGGUAGGGGCAGAGGGAAUUCCCGGUGUAGCGGUGAAAUGCGUAGAGAUCGGGAAGAACACCAAUGGCGAAAGCACUCUGCUGGGCCGAAACUGACACUGAGAGACGAAAGCUAGGGGAGCAAAUGGGAUUAGAAACCCGGGUAGUCC